UACGUAGGGACCGAGCGUUGUCCGGAAUCAUUGGGCGUAAAGAGCGUGUAGGCGGCUAUUUAAGUCCUGCGUGAAAUCCUGCGGCUCAACCGCAGACGGUCGUGGGAAACUGGAUGGCUAGAGUGCGGGAGAGGAGAGUGGAAUUCCCGGUGUAGCGGUGAAAUUCGUAGAUAUUGGGAAGAACACCGGUGGCGAAGGCGGCGAGCUGGUCCAUUACUGACGCUGAGGCGCGACAGCGUGGGGGAGCAAACAGG
rnacentral:rRNA from 1 species